rnacentral:rRNA from 1 species
GUGAGGUGGGUCGAGGAGGUGCGGGUAAGACGGAGGGUGAAAGCGUUAAACGGAGGUACUGGACGGAAAGAGGGCGUAGGCGGCUAAUUAAGUCAAAUGUGAAAUCACCGAGCUUAACUUGGGAAUUGCAUUCGAUACUGGUUAGCUAGAGUGUGGGAGAGGAUGGUAGAAUUCCAGGUGUAGCGGUGAAAUGCGUAGAGAUCUGGAGGAAUACCGAUGGCGAAGGCAGCCAUCUGGCCUAACACUGACGCUGAGGUGCGAAAGCAUGGGGAGCAAACAGGAUUAGAUACCCUUGUAGUC